GUAAUUCAGAAGGAAAAGGGUGGAAAGUGAAUUGUAUAACACAAAAUGGAUAUCAUGCUUUCUGUGGGGGAUGGAAACAGUUUGUGAGUGAUAACAAUCUUAAGGAAGGACAGGUCUGUGUUUUUCAGCUUGUCAAUGCAAAUGAACUAAAGGUUUCUGUUUUCAACGAUCCUUCGGAAUCUCUGUUGAAACUUGCUGCACAAAGAUGAUAAAUCUUAGUUUUGAACUGCUACGAUUUGAUGUCAUUAUGUUGGAAU
rnacentral:misc_RNA from 1 species